AUUGAACGCUGGCGGCAUGCCUAACACAUGCAAGUCGAGCGGAUGAACGGAGCUUGUUCCUGGAUGCAGCGGGGGGCGGGUGAGUAAUGCAUAGGAGUAUGCCUGCCAUUUGGGGAUAACGUCAGCAAGCGGGCGCUAAUACCGCAUACGACCAGAGCGUGAAGCUGGGGGAUCUUUGGACCUCACCCUCUCAGAUGAGCCUAGGUCGGAUUAGCUAGUUGGGAGGGUAAGGGCCUACCAAGGCGACGAUCCGUAACUGGUCUGAGAGGAUGAUCUGUCACACUGGAACGGAGACACGGUCCAGACUCCUACGGGAGGCAGCAGUAGGGAAUCUUGGACAAUGGGCGAAAGCCUGACACAGCCAUGCCGCGUGUGUGAAGAAGGUCUUCGGAUCGUAAAGCACUUUUAGUUGGGAGGAACGGCUGUAAGUUAAUACCUUGCUGUCUUGACGUUACCAACAGAAUAAGCAACGGCUAACUACGUG
rnacentral:rRNA from 1 species